ACUCCUGCGGGAGGCAGCAGUGGGGAAUUUUGGACAAUGGGCGAAAGCCUGAUCCAGCAAUGCCGCGUGAGUGAAGAAGGCCUUCGGGUUGUAAAGCUCUUUUGUCAGGGAAGAAACGGUGAGAGCUAAUAUCUUUUGCUAAUGACGGUACCUGAAGAAUAAGCACCGGCUAACUACGUGCCAGCAGCCGCGGUAAUACGUAGGGUGCAAGCGUUAAUCGGAAUUACUGGGCGUAAAGCGUGCGCAGGCGGUUUUGUAAGUCUGAUGUGAAAUCCCCGGGCUCAACCUGGGAAUUGCAUUGGAGACUGCAAGGCUAGAAUCUGGCAGAGGGGGGUAGAAUUCCACGUGUAGCAGUGAAAUGCGUAGAUAUGUGGAGGAACACCGAUGGCGAAGGCAGCCCCCUGGGUCAAGAUUGACGCUCAUGCACGAAAGCGUGGGGAGCAAACAGGAUUAGAAACCCUGGUAGUCCCA
rnacentral:rRNA from 1 species